rnacentral:rRNA from 1 species
UACGUAGGUGGCAAGCGUUGUCCGGAUUUACUGGGUGUAAAGGGCGUGUAGGCGGGGCAGCAGGUCAGAUGUGAAAUGCCAAGGCUUAACCUUGGAGCUGCAUUUGAAACCUCUGUUCUUGAGUGUCGGAGAGGAAAGCGGAAUUCCUAGUGUAGCGGUGAAAUGCGUAGAUAUUAGGAGGAACACCAGUGGCGAAGGCGGCUUUCUGGACGAUAACUGACGCUGAGGCGCGAAAGCGUGGGGAGCAAACAGG